GAUGAACGCUGGCGGCGUGCCUAAUACAUGCAAGUCGAGCGAACGGACGAGAAGCUUGCUUCUCUGAUGUUAGCGGCGGACGGGUGAGUAACACGUGGAUAACCUACCUAUAAGACUGGGAUAACUUCGGGAAACCGGAGCUAAUACCGGAUAAUAUUUUGAACCGCAUGGUUCAAAAGUGAAAGACGGUCCUGCUGUCACUUAUAGAUGGAUCCGCGCUGCAUUAGCUAGUUGGUAAGGUAACGGCUUACCAAGGCAACGAUGCAUAGCCGACCUGAGAGGGUGAUCGGCCACACUGGAGCUGAGACACGGUCCAGACUCCUACGGGAGGCAGCAGUAGGGAAUCUUCCGCAAUGGGCGAAAGCCUGACGGAGCAACGCCGCGUGAGUGAUGAAGGUCUUCGGAUCGUAAAACUCUGUUAUUAGGGAAGAACAUAUGUGUAAGUAACUGUGCACAUCUUGACGGUACCUAAUCAGAAAGCCACGGCUAACUACGUG
rnacentral:rRNA from 1 species